AGUACUUCAGCUGAAACAGGAAAUGACUCACCAUAUAAUAACUCAUUUUCAAGGAAAACAACAGGAUCAGGGUCCCUUAUGGCAGCUUUUAGCAGUCCACGAGCAUCUUCAGAUGAGUAAGGGGCCAGCACUUUCAACCCAGGGCAGGAGGCGUACCAUGAAGCAUAACAAUGAGAGUGUUGAGCACCAACUCCUGCUGCAGCACCAUUUGGUCCCCUGAAAACUAUGGGCACAGAUAUCUGGCCAGCAGACAUGUAAUUUGUUUUUGCAGCAGAGUUAAUGAUAUGGUCAAUUGCCUGCAUAGAGAAGUUAAAAGUCAUGAACUCAACAAUUGGCUUGAGACCAUAAAAAGCAGCACCAACUCCAAUGCCAGUAAACCCAGCCUCAGUUAUCGGAGUAUCAAGAACCCUUUCAGGACCGUACUUCUCCAAAAGCCCUUUAGAUAUCUUAUAUGCACCCUGAUAUUCCCCAACCUCUUCUCCCAUUAAAAAGACUUUAGGAUCAGCUGACAUUUCCUCAUCAAGAGCAGAGUUCAGUGCUUCUCUAACCAUCAUCUGUUUAGAAGUGGAUGAGUAACCCCUCCAUGAUGAAGCCACAGGACGAAUCCUCUGCAAUGACUGCCCAAAAGCUUUUUGCCUUAUAAUUCCCAGCAUAUUUUCUUCUGCUUUUUUCACUCAAGUA
rnacentral:misc_RNA from 1 species